UGGGGAAUAUUGGACAAUGGGCGCAAGCCUGAUCCAGCCAUGCCGCGUGAGUGAUGAAGGCCUUAGGGUUGUAAAGCUCUUUCGCCGGUGAAGAUAAUGACGGUAACCGGAGAAGAAGCCCCGGCUAACUUCGUGCCAGCAGCCGCGGUAAUACGAAGGGGGCUAGCGUUGCUCGGAAUCACUGGGCGUAAAGCGCACGUAGGCGGAUCGUUAAGUCAGGGGUGAAAUCCUGGAGCUCAACUUCAGAACUGCCCUUGAUACUGGCGAUCUCGAGUUCGAGAGAGGUUGGUGGAACUCCGAGUGUAGAGGUGAAAUUCGUAGAUAUUCGGAAGAACACCAGUGGCGAAGGCGGCCAACUGGCUCGAUACUGACGCUGAGGUGCGAAAGCGUGGGGAGCAAACAGGAUUAGAUACCCCUGGUAGUCCACGGCCCGUAAAACGAUGGAUGCUAGCCGUUGGGGGGUUUACCUCUCAGUGGCGCAGCUAACGCCUUAAGCAUCCCGCCUGGGGAGUACGGUCGCAAGAUUAAAACUCAAAUGAAUUGACGGGGUCAUAGCUGUUUCCU
rnacentral:rRNA from 1 species